GCUGUUUGGGCUUGAACCCCAACCCCAGUUGUAUUCCCAGUUAGGACCGUGUGCUGAUCCAGUGCCGCCUUCAGUAGCUGUGCCACUCUUUUCCGGUGCACCCAUUUUGCGUCCUCCGCUGCCAGUUGUGCUAAAAGCGGUUGAAUAGGUGAAGACAAAGAUAAGUACUACGAGACUAGUGAUAUAUAAUUUUUUGCGUUCCAUAUUUUCAAAGAUGAAUAAUGGAGGGUUAAUCCACUACUAUAUAUACUGCUAGACAUGUAUGUAUGUGUUAUGUACAUAUAUAGAGAGUCUGAUAUAGGUUAUGGGAUCAGUGGCAUAUGAUUAAAUAUUGAUUGUGACUUGGUGAUACUUACAUGCACUAAGGAACUUCUGGGACACUUGUCGGGUGAGAGAGAGAGAGUACUUGAGCACCAUUUCUCUCCACCACCGCCUCCAGCUACUCGUGUAUCUUCUUUUAGUUAAGUGGAUAUAGAGAGAUCAAUUUGAGAUCUUUAUCUCAUAAUAUGUUACUAUAAACCAUUUUGUGUAAGACACUUGUGAGUUACAUGUUGAAAAUGUAUGUCUUCUAACUGAUGUUUACCAUACAAUUUAUAAGUAUCUUACUUUGUCGCAGGUAUAUUUAUCGUUAAUGUUUUGUUCUAGGGAGAAUUUCGUACAUCUUGUAGAAGUCUCCUUCAUUCAGUUUUAAUUUAUAGAUAUUGAUAUUAAUAUCAGUAUGUGUUCAGGUGUUGAAAUCAUCUGUUUUAGUCGUUUUGAAUGUUGUUGGUUUUCCUGUGGAUUGAUUGACUUGCUUAAAGUAGAG
rnacentral:lncRNA from 1 species